AAUGAACGCUGGCGGCAUGCUUUACACAUGCAAGUCGAACGGCAGCGCGGGCUUCUUCCUGGCCGCGAGUUGCGAACGGGUGAGUAAUUCACCGGAACGUGCCCAGUCGUUGGGGAUAGCCUGGCUAAAGCCGGAUUAAUACCGCAUCCGACCUGAUGUUGAAAGCGGGGGACCGAAAGGCCUCGCGCUAUUGGAUCGGCCGAUGUCGGAUUAGCUAGUUGGUGGGGUAAAGGCUUACCAAGGCGACGAUCCGUAGCUGGUCUGAGAGGACGACCAGCCACACUGGAACUGAGACACGGCCCAGACUCCUACGGGAGGCAGCAGUAGGGAAUCUUGGGCAAUGGGCGAAAGCCUGAUGCAGCAAUGCCGCGUGCGGGAAGAAGGCCUUCGGGUUGUAAACCGCUUUUGUUAGGGAAGAACAACUCUGUGAUAAUAUACCGGGGGGAUGACGGUACCGGAAGAAUAAGCACCGGCUAACUACGUG
rnacentral:rRNA from 1 species